rnacentral:rRNA from 1 species
UACGGGGGGGAGCAAGCGUUGUUCGGAUUUACUGGGCGUAAAGGGCGCGUAGGCGGCCACCGCAAGUCAGUUGUGAAAGCUCUGGGCUUAACCCAGAAAGGUCAGCUGAUACUGCGGGGCUAGAGUGCAGAAGGGGCAACUGGAAUUCUCGGUGUAGCGGUGAAAUGCGUAGAUAUCAGGAGGAACACCUGUGGUGUAGACGGCUUUCUGGACCAUAGCUGACGCUGAGACACGAAAGCGUGGGUAGCAAACAGG